CCUACGGGGGGCAGCAGUAGGGAAUAUUGCACAAUGGGGGAAACCCUGAUGCAGCAACGCCGCGUGGGUGAUGAAGGUUUUCGGAUUGUAAAGUCCUAUCGUUAGGGAAGAUAAUGACGGUAUCUAACGAAUAAGCCCCGGCUAACUACGUGCCAGCAGCCGCGGUAAUACGGAGGGUGCAAGCGUUACACGGAAUUACUGGGCGUAAAGGGGGCGUAGGCGGGCUAGCAAGUCAGAAGUGAAAUCCUAUGGCUUAACCAUGGAACUGCAUUUGAAACUGUUAUUCUAGAGUGUGGGAGAGGUAGGUGGAAUUCUUGGUGUAGGGGUAAAAUCCGUAGAGAUCAAGAGGAAUACUCAUGGCGAAGGCGACCUGCUGGAACGUAACUGACGCUGAGGCGCGAAAGCGUGGGGAGCAAACAGGAUUAGAUACCCGGGUAGUC
rnacentral:rRNA from 1 species